AUUGAACGCUGGCGGCAGGCCUAACACAUGCAAGUCGAGCGGAUGAAGGGAGCUUGCUCCUGGAUUCAGCGGCGGACGGGUGAGUAAUGCCUAGGAAUCUGCCUGGUAGUGGGGGAUAACGUCCGGAAACGGGCGCUAAUACCGCAUACGUCCUGAGGGAGAAAGUGGGGGAUCUUCGGACCUCACGCUAUCAGAUGAGCCUAGGUCGGAUUAGCUAGUUGGUGGGGUAAAGGCCUACCAAGGCGACGAUCCGUAACUGGGCUGAGAGGAUGAUCAGUCACACUGGAACUGAGACACGGUCCAGACUCCUACGGGAGGCAGCAGUGGGGAAUAUUGGACGAUGGGCGAAAGCCUGAUCCAGCCAUGCCGCGUGUGUGAAGAAGGUCUUCGGAUUGUAAAGCACUUUAAGUUGGGAGGAAGGGCAGUAAGUUAAUACCUUGCUGUUUUGACGUUACCAACAGAAUAAGCACCGGCUAACUUCGUG
rnacentral:rRNA from 1 species